rnacentral:tRNA from 2 species
GGGUGAUUAGCUCAGCUGGGAGAGCGCCUCGUUUACACCGAGGAGGUCGGCGGUUCGAUCCCGUCAUCACCCACCA